UACAGAGGGGGCAAGCGUUAUUCGGAAUUACUGGGCGUAAAGCGCACGUAGGCGGCUUGGCAAGUCGGAUGUGAAAUCCCUCGGCUCAACCAAGGAAGUGCAUCCGAAACUGCUGAGCUUGAGUACUUAAGAGGAUCGCGGAAUUCCCGGUGUAGAGGUGAAAUUCGUAGAUAUCGGGAGGAACACCAGUGGCGAAGGCGGCGAUCUGGGAAGAUACUGACGCUGAGGUGCGAAAGCGUGGGGAGCAAACAGG
rnacentral:rRNA from 1 species